CCUACGGGGGGCAGCAGUAGGGAAUAUUGGACAAUGGAGGCAACUCUGAUCCAGCCAUCCCGCGUGAAGGAUUAAGGUCCUAUGGAUUGUAAACUUCUUUUCUCUGGGAAUAAAAACCGGUAUUCAUAUCGGCUUGAAGGUACCAGAGGAAUAAGCACCGGCUAACUCCGUGCCAGCAGCCGCGGUAAUACGGAGGGUGCAAGCGUUAUCCGGAUUCACUGGGUUUAAAGGGUGCGUAGGUGGUUUUGUAAGUCAGUGGUGAAAGCCCGGAGCUUAACUCCGGAACUGCCAUUGAUACUGCUUAACUUGAAUCAGAUGGAGGUGGAUGGAAUAUUACAUGUAGCGGUGAAAUGCUUAGAUAUGUAAUAGAACACCAAUUGCGAAGGCAGUUCACUACGUCUGUAUUGACACUGAGGCACGAAAGCGUGGGGAUCAAACAGGAUUAGAUACCCUGGUAGUC
rnacentral:rRNA from 1 species